rnacentral:rRNA from 1 species
AGCGAACGCUGGCGGCAGGCCUAACACAUGCAAGUCGAACGAAGCCUUCGGGCUUAGUGGCGGACGGGUGAGUAACACGUGGGAACGUACCUUUUGGUUCGGAACAACUCAGGGAAACUUGAGCUAAUACCGGAUGAGCCCUUAGGGGGAAAGAUUUAUCGCCGAAAGAGCGGCCCGCGUUAGAUUAGCUAGUUGGUGAGGUAAAGGCUCACCAAGGCUACGAUCUAUAGCUGGUCUGAGAGGAUGAUCAGCCACACUGAGACUGAGACACGGCCCAGACUCCUACGGGAGGCAGCAGUGGGGAAUCUUGCGCAAUGGGCGAAAGCCUGACGCAGCCAUGCCGCGUGAAUGAUGAAGGUCUUAGGAUUGUAAAAUUCUUUUACCGGGGACGAUAAUGACGGUACCUGGAGAAAAAGCCCCGGCUAACUUCGUGCCAGCCGCCGCCGUAACAC